UCCCAGCGGUCCAAGUCGCAGCCACUUUAUUGGGUCUAAACAUCCGUAGCUUGCUAAGUAAGUCUUCUGUGAAAUCUGGCAUCUUAAGUGUCGGGCGAGCAAGAGAUACUGCUUAGCUAGAGACCGGGAGACGUAAGGAGUACAGUUUGGGUAGCGGUAAAAUGCGUUGAUCCUCACUGGACUAACAACAGCGAAGGCACCUUACGAGAACGGAUCUGACAGUGAGGGAUGAAGGCUA
rnacentral:rRNA from 1 species